rnacentral:rRNA from 1 species
AGGCUGCAACUCGCCUGCAUGAAGUUGGAAUUGCUAGUAAUCGCGAAUCAGAAUGUCGCGGUGAAUACGUUCCCGGGCCUUGUACACACCGCCCGUCACACCAUGAGAGCCGAUAACACCCGAAGCCUGUGAGCUAACCGGUAAGGGGGCAGCAGUCGAAGGUGGGGUUGGUGAUUGGGGUGAAGUCGUAACAAGGUAUC